AACGAACGCUGGCGGCAGGCUUAACACAUGCAAGUCGAACGGUUGUAGCAAUACAGCAGUGGCGCACGGGUGAGUAACGCGUGGAUAUCUGCCUUUUGGUUCGGAAUAACUCCGGGAAACUGGAGCUAAUACCGGAUGGUUCCUACGGGAUAAAGAUUUAUCGCCAAAAGAUGAGUCCGCGUACGAUUAGCUAGUUGGUGAGGUAAUGACUCACCAAGGCUACGAUCGUUAGCUGGUCUGAGAGGACGAUCAGCCACACUGGGACUGAGACACGGCCCAGAAUCCUACGGGAGGCAGCAGUGGGGAAUAUUGGACAAUGGGGGCAACCCUGAUCCAGCCGUGCCGCGUGAGUGAUGAAGGCCUUCGGGUUGUAAAGCUCUUUUGGCGGGGACGAUGAUGACGGUACCCGCAGAAUAAGCCCCGGCUAACUUCGUGCCAGCAGCCGCGGUAAGAC
rnacentral:rRNA from 1 species